rnacentral:rRNA from 1 species
UACGGGGGGGGCAAGCGUUGUUCGGAAUUACUGGGCGUAAAGGGCUCGUAGGCGGCCAACUAAGUCGGAUGUGAAAUCCCCAGGCUUAACCUGGGAACUGCAUCCGAUACUGGAUGGCUUGAAUCCGGGAGAGGGAUGCAGAAUUCCAGGUGUAGCGGUGGAAUGCGUAGAUAUCUGGAGGAAUACCGGUGGCGAAGGCGGCAUCCUGGACCGGCAUUGACGCUGAUGAGCGAAAGCUAGGGGAGCAAACGGG